rnacentral:lncRNA from 1 species
CGAUCGCUUGAUUACAGACAGGCAAACCACCAAGCGACAGGCCUCAGUCCAAUCCAGAUGCAUGUUUUUAACCUCAGCCUAAGGUGACUUCUGGUGUAUCCAUUUGAGUGGUAGGCACGAUUUGCUGACCCCUAUCACACCAUUAGUUCAUUAGGUUACGAAUGCGAAUGUGUAUAUUAAUUUAGGCAGCUCUUAGCUUAUAGGAAUUCUUCCUUCAAUAGAUUGGUUUUCAUUGUGUGAGGGUGGGUAUAUACCAGUAUUGAUAUCGGCCUUGAUUGCUAUGCUGUGCUGAUUGUCUUGAUUGUCCGAUUGUGAGCUAAUAUACGAGUGCUUCAUUUGCUAUAAAUAAAUCUCUUUAUCUGUGAACCAUGUAAUUUCAAAAAUCAUCAUCUUUUCUCUACAAUUUAAAUAUCCAAGUUACACUAUCCCCAUCAAUGGAAAUAUCCUAAUUAUCAGAUUGAUCGGAUGGCCGAAAACCGACGUAAGCAUAAAUGAAGUAUGAAGAGUUAUAACAACAUGGCUAGAGGAUCAAAGGGAGCUUACAGGUGAGCUACCACAUCCAGAGGCAGAGAACCAAAUAAUAAAUUCAAAACAGAGACAAUGUUUUCAAUCUUCAGGAAUAACAAAUUUGAAAAAAAAUAAAAUUGAAUAAAUUGAAUAAAGUGAAACAUAUAACUCUCACCUGGCCACUCCACAGAGAGGCCUGCUUCAGAAGCUUCCACAGUCCAAACGCUUGAUCAUGAGUCAGGACUAGGGGUCUGGUCCUCUUCAUGCAAAUACAAUGCAAACAGACGAGUAUCCGCUGGUUUCGCCGGCAUUAAUGAUUAAUAGCGUCGCAGUCGCUGCGCAACCGAGGAUUUUUAAUUUUAAUUAGUCUUUUACACGAUAAUACUGGUAAUGCGCAAAUGUUAUUGAUGGGCCUAGGCGAAAUCUCAAUGAAUCUAACUGAGAGUAAUUUAAUUUCGAAAAAAUAAAAUAAAAUAGGCACGUAAUUUGGUUGUCUCCUAAUAUGAC